AGUGAACGCUGGCGGUAGGCCUAACACAUGCAAGUCGAACGGCAGCACAGGAGAGCUUGCUCUCUGGGUGGCGAGUGGCGGACGGGUGAGGAAUACAUCGGAAUCUGCCCAGUCGUGGGGGAUAACGUAGGGAAACUUACGCUAAUACCGCAUACGACCUCCGGGUGAAAGAGGGGGAUCGCAAGACCCCUCGCGAUUGGAUGAGCCGAUGUCGGAUUGGCUAGUUGGCGGGGUAAUGGCCCACCAAGGCGACGAUCCGUAGCUGGUCUGAGAGGAUGAUCAGCCACACUGGAACUGAGACACGGUCCAGACUCCUACGGGAGGCAGCAGUGGGGAAUAUUGGACAAUGGGCGCAAGCCUGAUCCAGCCAUACCGCGUGGGUGAAGAAGGCCUUCGGGUUGUAAAGCCCUUUUGUUGGGAAAGAAAACUUUCAGGCUAAUACCCUGGGAGGAUGACGGUACCCAAAGAAUAAGCACCGGCUAACUUCGUG
rnacentral:rRNA from 1 species